rnacentral:lncRNA from 1 species
UUAUAACAUAAAAUAAAAGCUCAGUAAAAGUAAAAUACAUUACUAUUUCUUUUGUCAUAGAUCCGGCCUGAGGAGUCCCAGAAACCAACUUCAAGAAGACCACCAGGAGUUUAAUACCAGCCUGGGCAACAUGUCCAUCUGAUACUCUCCGAAAGUUAAACAAGCCAUUCAGGAAAAUGGGAUUGAGUUAUGACAAGCUGAACAGAAGCCCUGAAAGGUCAUGGGCUCAUUUCUUCAUUUAUGAUGAAUUGUCCAGAGUUUCUGCAGACCGACCAAAGGUGAUGAUCCCACAUCAGCAACAAGAGUCAGGAGGAAGACUUCAGAAGCAGGAAUGCAUAGAUCCAAGAAAGGUAAGAUAAAGUCAGACCAGGACAUGGAUCCCAUUCCUGGUUUCAGUCUCUGCUGGGCUCUGC